rnacentral:rRNA from 1 species
UACGUAGGUGGCAAGCGUUAUCCGGAUUUAUUGGGCGUAAAGGGAACGCAGGCGGUCUUUUAAGUCUGAUGUGAAAGCCUUCGGCUUAACCGGAGUAGUGCAUAGGAAACUGGGAGACUUGAGUGCAGAAGAGGAGAGUGGAACUCCAUGUGUAGCGGUGGAAUGCGUAGAUAUAUGGAAGAACACCAGUGGCGAAAGCGGCUCUCUGGUCUGUAACUGACGCUGAGGUUCGAAAGCGUGGGUAGCAAACAGG